rnacentral:rRNA from 1 species
AUUGAACGCUGGCGGCAGGCCUAACACAUGCAAGUCGAACGAGUGGCGGACGGGUGAGUAAUGUCUGGGAACCUGCCUGCUGGAGGGGGAUAACUACUGGAAACGGUAGCUAAUACCGCAUACCAUCAGAUGUGCCCAGAUGGGAUUAGCUGGUUGGUGGGGUAAAGGCUCACCAAGGCUACGAUCCCUAGCUGGUCUGAGAGGAUGACCAGCCACACGGGAACUGAGACACGUCCCAGACUCCUACGGGAGGCAGCAGUGGGGAAUAUUGGACAAUGGGCGAAAUCCUGAUGCAGCCAUGCCGCGUGUAUGAAGAAGGCCUUCGGGUUGUAAAGUACUUUCAGCAGGGAAGCGUUACCCGCAGAAGAAGCACCGGCUAACUCCGUGCCAGCAGCCGCGGUAAUAC